rnacentral:snoRNA from 1 species
UGUUAUGAUGCCAUAAUUUGCGAUUGACCUCACGCUCCGUGAAGCUCUCGCCGGAGCUUCAAUACGGAGCUGGGGAAAUGAAAGUCAAUCUUACAUAUUCUGAAC